GUUAGUUUUAAAUCUAUAUACUAAUAUAGUUAAUCUCGUUUUUGUUGUUGUUUUAUUAUUUAAUAAUUAUAUACAUCUUAAAUUGUUUCUGCAUUUUAUUCCUUUUGUGUUUCAGAGACAAGCAACAUGUGAACGGACGAUGUGCACUCGACACUACUAAAGAAAAUGUCAAAAUCAACAAUGAAAGCAUGGUACGCACCGAAAAAAAAAAUAUUCAAUAUCAACAAGCAAACGAUGGGGUGCACUCCAUAAACCAUUCAACAUCAACAACGAAAGGAUGGUGCACACCGAAAAAAACAAUCAACCAAAGGAUCAUGCGCACUCCAAAAUCAUCCAAAAUCACCAACCAAAGUAUGGUGUGCUCCCCUAAAAAUAUUCAGCAUCAACAAUCAAAGGAUGGGUGCGUAUUCCCAAAACAUUAAAAUUUAACAAUCAAAGGAAGGAGCGCACCAACAAAAACUAUCCUAUAUCAAUAAGCAAACGAUGCGGGUGCACCCCAAAAACAUUCAACAUUAACAAUCAUAGGAUGGUACACCCCAAAAACAUUCAAAAUCAACAAAGGAUGGUGCGCACCUACAAAAAAACAAAAUAAUCUAUAUAGAUCACUAAGCAAACGAUGGGAUGCACCCAAACACAUUCAAAAUGAACAAUUAAAAUAUGGUGCACAUCCAUAAAAACAUUCAACGUCAACAAUCCAAGGAUGGUGCGCACCCCAAAAUCAUUGAACAUUAACAAUCAAAGGAUGGUGCGCACCCCAAACACAUUCAACAUCAACAAUCAAAGGAUGGUGCAUACCAACAUAAAUAUUAACUAUUAAUAAGCAAACGAUCGGGUGCACUUCAUAAAUAUUCAACAUCAACAAUCAAAGGAUGGUGCGCACCCCAAAAACAUUCAGCAUUAACAACCAAAGGAUGGUGCACCCCAAAAACAUUCAAAAUCAACAAUCAAAGGAUGGUGCGCACCUACAAAAAAACAAAAUAAUCUAUAUAGAUCACUAAGCAAACGAUGGGAUGCACCCAAACACAUUCAAAAUGAACAAUUAAAAUAUGGUGCACAUCCAUAAAAACAUUCAACGUCAACAAUCCAAGGAUGGUGCGCACCCCAAAAUCAUUGAACAUUAACAAUCAAAGGAUGGUGCGCACCCCAAACACAUUCAACAUCAACAAUCAAAGGUAGGUGCGCACCCCAAAAACAUUCAGCAUUAACAACCAAAGGAUGGUGCACCCCAAAAACAUUCAAAAUCAACAAUCAAAGGAUGGUGCACCCCAAACACAUUCAAAAUCAACAAUCAAAGGAUGGUGCACCCCAAAAACAUUCAAAAUCAACAAUCAAAGGAUGGUGCACACCUACAAAAAAACAAAAUAAUCUAUAUAGAUCACUAAGCAAACGAUGGGAUGCACCCAAACACAUUCAAAAUGAACAAUUAAAAUAUGGUGCACAUCCAUAAAAACAUUCAACGUCAACAAUCCAAGGAUGGUGCGCACCCCAAAAUCAUUGAACAUUAACAAUCAAAGGAUGGUGCGCACCCCAAACACAUUCAACAUCAACAAUCAAAGGAUGGUGCGCACCCCAAAAACAUUCAGCAUUAACAACCAAAGGAUGGUGCACCCCAAAAACAUUCAAAAUCAACAAUCAAAGGAUGGUGCACCCCAAACACAUUCAAAAUCAACAAUCAAAGGAUGGUGCACCCCAAAAACAUUCAAAAUCAACAAUCAAAGGAUGGUGCACACCUACAAAAAAACAAAAUAAUCUAUAUAGAUCACUAAGCAAACGAUGGGAUGCACCCAAACACAUUCAAAAUGAACAAUUAAAAUAUGGUGCACAUCCAUAAAAACAUUCAACGUCAACAAUCCAAGGAUGGUGCGCACCCCAAAAUCAUUGAACAUUAACAAUCAAAGGAUGGUGCGCACCCCAAACACAUUCAACAUCAACAAUCAAAGGAUGGUGCAUACCAACAUAAAUAUUAACUAUUAAUAAGCAAACGAUCGGGUGCACUUCAUAAAUAUUCAACAUCAACAAUCAAAGGAUGGUGCGCACCCCAAAAACAUUCAGCAUUAACAACCAAAGGAUGGUGCACCCCAAAAACAUUCAAAAUCAACAAUCAAAGGAUGGUGCGCACCUACAAAAAAAACAAAAUAAUCUAUAUAGAUCACUAAGCAAACGAUGGGAUGCACCCAAACACAUUCAAAAUGAACAAUUAAAAUAUGGUGCACAUCCAUAAAAACAUUCAACGUCAACAAUCCAAGGAUGGUGCGCACCCCAAAAUCAUUGAACAUUAACAAUCAAAGGAUGGUGCGCACCCCAAACACAUUCAACAUCAACAAUCAAAGGAUGGUGCAUACCAACAUAAAUAUUAACUAUUAAUAAGCAAACGAUCGGGUGCACUUCAUAAAUAUUCAACAUCAACAAUCAAAGGAUGGUGCGCACCCCAAAAACAUUCAGCAUUAACAACCAAAGGAUGGUGCACCCCAAAAACAUUCAAAAUCAACAAUCAAAGGAUGGUGCACACCUACAAAAAAACAAAAUAAUCUAUAUAGAUCACUAAGCAAACGAUGGGGUGCACCCAAACACAUUCAAAAUGAACAAUUAAAAUAUGGUGCACAUCCAUAAAAACAUUCAACGUAAACAAUCCAAGGAUGGUGCGCACCCCAAAAUCAUUGAACAUUAACAAUCAAAGGAUGGUGCGCACCCCAAACACAUUCAACAUCAACAAUCAAAGGAUGGUGCGCACCCCAAAAACAUUCAGCAUUAACAACCAAAGGAUGGUGCACCCCAAAAACAUUCAAAAUCAACAAUCAAAGGAUGGUGCACCCCAAACACAUUCAAAAUCAACAAUCAAAGGAUGGUGCACCCCAAAAACAUUCAAAAUCAACAAUCAAAGGAUGGUGCACACCUACAAAAAAACAAAAUAAUCUAUAUAGAUCACUAAGCAAACGAUGGGAUGCACCCAAACACAUUCAAAAUGAACAAUUAAAAUAUGGUGCACAUCCAUAAAAACAUUCAACGUCAACAAUCCAAGGAUGGUGCGCACCCCAAAAUCAUUGAACAUUAACAAUCAAAGGAUGGUGCGCACCCCAAACACAUUCAACAUCAACAAUCAAAGGUAGGUGCGCACCCCAAAAACAUUCAGCAUUAACAACCAAAGGAUGGUGCACCCCAAACACAUUCAAAAUCAACAAUCAAAGGAUGGUGCACCCCAAACACAUUCAAAAUCAACAAUCAAAGGAUGGUGCACCCCAAAAACAUUCAAAAUCAACAAUCAAAGGAAGGUGCGCACCUACAAA
rnacentral:lncRNA from 1 species